CACGAGUGACAGUCUGGCGCCUGGGAAGGAGGAGGCAAGCCCAACCAAGGCCUCACUCUUAGCGCCUCUAUUCAUGGCGUCCUUCUACAGUUUAUUCCAAUCCGAUGCAAACAACAAUGUGAUGUAACAGUACUAUACCAUGUUACUUAUACAUCAGUUGCAUAGUAUGCAGUGGUAAGCAUACUGCUAUGGCAAAUGUCAUUAUAGAACUACAAAGCAAAAAAAGGCUACUACUGCAGCAAAUGUGCCACAUUCACCGACUAUCAAAGGACAGUCUGAGCGUGAUGGUAAAGCCAGGAAACAGAUGACUAUGCCUGCUAACUGCUGAGCAGAGAGAGAGAGACAGCCAGGGAGGCGUGGCCUGUAUCCUUCACAUGAUCUUCCUGCAGUGCACACUGCUAUGUCACACUGCAGGUAACUGACACCUAGCAAGGGACAGUGGCCAG